rnacentral:rRNA from 1 species
UACGUAGGGCGCAAGCGUUGUCCGGAAUUAUUGGGCAUAAAGAGCUUGUAGGUGGCUUGUCGCGUCUGCCGUGAAAACCCGAGGCUCAACCUCGGGCGUGCGGUGGGUACGGGCAGGCUAGAGUGUGGUAGGGGAGACUGGAACUCCUGGUGUAGCGGUGAAAUGCGCAGAUAUCAGGAAGAACACCGAUGGCGAAGGCAGGUCUCUGGGCCAUUACUGACGCUGAGAAGCGAAAGCAUGGGGAGCGAACAGG